CCAGUUCGUGUGUUUGGAGUGCUAUAUUGGAUGCCGUUCGGGAGUUUGGAGCAUUCCUUUAUUGGCAGUUCGUGAGUUUGGUGUUUUACAAUAGCUGUGCCUGCAUCUCUGGAAAGGGGGCCGAUCGCCUAAACGGUUUUUACCCCUUGUGUGCAAAACGGUCCGUAACACCCGGCAAUGUCAGUAGGGAAACCCCUUGCAUGGGACUUGCAUAAAUACUGGAGCUGUGAAUAAAGACCUCAGCUGACUCCCAAAACUGCGUUUCGUCCGGUUACUGGAGGAUUUGGGAUAUUGCCUUACUUUUCAGCGCUUGACUGUGG